UUCACAACAUCUAACGUAUCUGUACUGUCACAUGCCUCACACAAGCCCUUCCUGCCCUGUUCCACUUGAUGUCUGUCUGGCUGUUCGUGAGUCACGAGUAAGCUCCCACUUCGCAAGUUGCUGGUGGUUCAUGGUGUCAGAGUCUGAACAUCGAUGUGCCUGUGUCCUGGAGCUCCGGUGGAGAACAACCAGAUAGAGAGAGAGGUCAAGGUGGGAUCAAACAGGGAUAAAAGGAACUAAAUUCUUACAACUUGGUGUCAGAGAGUGAGAUCUCCUUUGGUAUUUUCAAAGAAAGACAAUACGCGUGGCAGCAUCUCCCGGAUGUGUGGAUUCUCCAGUUGAUUUUGCUGCCACCGUGCACGAUUCCCUGGAUACCCUCAAAGCUGUACUGUGUUGCAGUAUGCUGAUGACCAGCUACUGACAGGGAAGGCCAUGAGUUCAUGUGCAGGGCUGGCUCUGUGAGGUCUGUUCCAGCAUUUCACUGUGGUUUCAAAGCUCUUUCAGUUUCAGAGUUCCCAUCCCAGUUUCACUUCGUCAAAGGGAAGCUGCAGACUGUGAAAGGACAGAAUACAGCUCUUUCAGAGUUGUAGGCCUCCAUUCACAAAGAAAGGCAUGAUGUCUUUUCUGGGACCUGAUCAAUUACUGUGACGCAUGGAUGCUGGACUGCUCUUACUACGACAAGGUUUUGAGACUGUUUUGCAAGUCGGAUGCUCCUGACACAAUCAAAUGGACCACAGAAAUGGCAGAGGCCUAAGUCUCCUAAGAGGUCCUCUCACUUCCUAAACAGAAGUGAUUUUGCAGUGUGUUUUGUAGAAGUGAUCCAACCAUGUUGGUAGAUUUCUUGGCAGCCACACCUUGUUCAGAUGUGGUUUCCUGUUUAUUUCACACCUCACCUGCAUUUGUUCUUAGAAACCUUGUUUAUCUCUGUACUGACCAAAUGCCAGUCAUGUCUGCUCCUAAGUGUGUAAGAAUGCCCUUAAAUAUAAACAAUUGUCUUCUCACAUGGGUGCAAAUGAAAUACAAUUUGAGCCUAAAACAGUGAGUUCCUUCAUCUUCAUGACUUUAUUUCCACAAAUAAAAAAGUAAACAUCAAA